rnacentral:tRNA from 1 species
CUUGCCCGUGUGGGGAGGGUUGAGAUGUGUUUAAGGAACAGGUUAAAAAGGUUAGGGGUUCGACUCCUCUUGGGCGCGU